rnacentral:rRNA from 1 species
UACCUGGGUUGAUCCUGGCCAGUGUGCAUACGCUCUUUUUAAAGAUUAAGCCAUGCACGUGCUAGUUCAUACAUUUUAAAUGUGAGACUGCGGACGGCUCAGUAAAUCAGUUAUAAUCUGCUCGAAUGUAAAGGUUAUUGGAUAACCGUGGGAAAUCUAGAGCUAAUACAUGUAAUACAGGGUAUGAGCAAUCAUACUCGAUGGCAUUUAUUAGAAAAUGACCAACCGUAGGUGCAAACUUACGUGGUGAAUCUAGAUAACUGUGCAGAUCGUAUGGCCUUGAGCUGACGACAUUUCGAUUGAAUUUCUGCCCUAUCAACUUUUGUCGGUAGUGUAGUGGACUACCGAGGUUUUUACGGGUGACGGGGGAUCAGGGUUCGAUUCCGGAGAGGGAGCCUGAGAAACGGCUACCACAUCCAAGGAAGGCAGCAGGCGCGCAAAUUACCCAAUCCAGACAAUGGGAGGUGGUGACGAAAAGUACCGGAUGACGAUCAUAGAUUGUCAAUCUGGAAUGGAAUCAAUUUAAGCAAUUGAUUGAGUAACUACUGGAGGGCAAGUCUGGUGCCAGCAGCCGCGGUAAUUCCAGCUCCAGUAGCGUAUCCCAAAGUUGCUGCGCUUAAAACGCUCGUAGUUGGAUCACAAACUAUUCACCGGUGGGUUGUGAGGUUUAUGUCAAAUUUGGCGAGUCAGUUGUGUGUCCUCAUGCAGCUGGUGAGUUGAAUGGUGUAGCUUUAUGCCGUAAGCUGGUGGAUAGUAAUUGCACGUGAGGAUAGGCAUUGACCUUGAGUGAGUUGAUGCUUGUGUCUCACGGAGUGUGCCUUGAGUAAAUCAGAGUGCUUAAAGCAGGCUUUACGCUUGAAUGUUAUAGCAUGGAACGAACAAUCGUGUAUGGUGUAUACUGGCAAUGAUUAGCUGAACAUCGUUUGGCGUCAUCAGUAUACGACACCGACCACCAGUUACGGAUGUUGGUUCCGUAUUGGGGUAUUGAUUAAGAGGAGCAGUUGGGGGCAUUGGUAUUUAGCAGCGAGAGGUGAAAUUCUUGGACCUGCUAACGACUAACAAAUGCGAAGGCAUUUGUCCAGACUGUAUCCGUUAAUCAAGAACGAUAGUGAGAGGUUCGAAGAUGAUCAGAGACCGUCGUAGUUCUCACUGUAAACUAUGCCGACCCGGGAUCAGUUUGGAGCUAUGUUCCAUGCUCGGAGUUGGUCCCCCUGGGAAACCUAAAGUUUUUCGGUUGCGGGGGGAGUAUGGUCGCAAGGCUGAAACUUAAAGGAAUUGACGGAAGGGCACCACCAGGGGUGGAGCCUGCGGCUUAAUUUGACUCAACACGGGACAACUUACCUGGUCCGAACAUCCGAAGGAUACACAGACUGAUAGAUCUUUGUUGAUGGGGUGAUGAGUGGUGCAUGGCCGUUCUUAGUUCGUGGAGUGAUCUGUCAGGCCUAUCCCGGUAACGAACGAGACUACGAUCACCAGUUGACAAACCAGAGAAGGCAGUGGCUGUUAGGUGUUGGCAACAGUGCCUAGCUUAAGCUGUCGUAGGCAUUAUUGACGACCCAUUGCAGAACUUGCUUUCGGGUGGGUAAUGUAGUGGUAGUUGGUAAUCCCUUUGGUUGUGUAGUGUAUUGUUUGACAGUAUAUUGCAUCAUGGUGAGACAGCGGAAUAUAUUACAAAAUUCGAGGAAGUGUAGCUAUAACAGGUCCGUGAUGCCCUUAGAUGUUCAGGGCUGCACGCGCGCUACAAUGAUAUUAACAACGAGUUUCUGAAUCGAAAGAUUUGGGUAAUCUUGCAAUUAAUAUCGUGAUGGGGAUCGACGUUUGUAAAUACGUCGUGAAAGAGGAAUCCCUAGUACGUGCGAUUCAUUUAGAUCGCGCGGAUUGCGUCCCUGCCCUUUGUACACACCGCCCGUCGCUACUACCGAGUGAAUCGUGUCAUGAUGCCUUGGGAGCGGACGUUGCCUGGGCCUCGUGCCUGGUGUAAUGCUGCAAUCAGCGUAAAAUGGCGCAAUUUCGAGGAAGUAAAAGUCGUAACAAGGCUU